rnacentral:rRNA from 1 species
CCUACGGGUGGCUGCAGUGGGGAAUAUUGGACAAUGGGGGGAACCCUGAUCCAGCCAUGCCGCGUGUGUGAAGAAGGCCCUCGGGUUGUAAAGCACUUUCAGUGAGGAAGAACGCCUGGUGGUUAAUACCCAUCAGGAAAGACAUCAUUCACAGAAGAAGCACCGGCUAACUCCGUGCCAGCAGCCGCGGUAAUACGGAGGGUGCGAGCGUUAAUCGGAAUUACUGGGCGUAAAGCGCGCGUAGGUGGCUUGAUAAGCCGGUUGUGAAAGCCCCGGGCUCAACCUGGGAACGGCAUCCGGAACUGUCAAGCUAGAGUGCAGGAGAGGAAGGUAGAAUUCCCGGUGUAGCGGUGAAAUGCGUAGAGAUCGGGAGGAAUACCAGUGGCGAAGGCGGCCUUCUGGACUGACACUGACACUGAGGUGCGAAAGCGUGGGUAGCAAACAGGAUUAGAUACCCGUGUAGUC